rnacentral:rRNA from 1 species
GGAAUAUUGGUCAAUGGGCGAGAGCCUGAACCAGCCAAGUAGCGUGCAGGAUGACGGCCCUAUGGGUUGUAAACUGCUUUUAUGCGGGGAUAAAGUGAGGGACGUGUCCCUUUUUGUAGGUACCGCAUGAAUAAGGACCGGCUAAUUCCGUGCCAGCAGCCGCGGUAAUACGGAGGAUGCAAGCGUUAUCCGGAUUUAUUGGGUUUAAAGGGAGCGCAGGCCGACUGGUAAGCGUGACGUGAAAUGUAGCCGCUCAACGGCUGAACUGCGUCGCGAACUGUCAGGCUUGAGUGAGUUCGAUGUUGGCGGAAUUCGUGGUGUAGCGGUGAAAUGCUUAGAUAUCACGAAGAACCCCGAUUGCGAAGGCAGCUGACGAGUCCUUUACUGACGCUAAAGCUCGAAGGUGCGGGUAUCGAACA